rnacentral:rRNA from 1 species
GACGAACGCUGGCGGCGUGCUUAACACAUGCAAGUCGAACGAAGAGCGAUGGACUCUUGCUUCUAUCAAUCUUAGUGGCGCACGGGUGAGUAACGCGUAAUCAACCUGCCCUUCAGAGGGGGACAACAGUUGGAAACGACUGCUAAUACCGCAUACGAUCUAACCUCGGCAUCGAGGAAAGAUGAAAGGUGGCCUCUAUGUAUAAGCUAUCACUGAAGGAGGGGAUUGCGUCUGAUUAGCUAGUUGGAGGGGUAACGUCCCACCAAGGCGAUGAUCAGUAGCCGGGCUGAGAGGAUGAACGGCCACAUUGGGACUGAGACACGGCCCAGACUCCUACGGGAGGCAGCAGUGGGGAAUCUUCCGCAAUGGACGAAAGUCUGACGGAGCAACGCCGCGUGAGUGAUGACGGCCUUCGGGUUGUAAAGCUCUGUUAAUCGGGACGAAAGGCCUUCUUGCGAAUAGUGAGAAGGAUUGACGGUACCGGAAUAGAAAGCCACGGCUAACUACGUG